GCGGAUGUGGUGGAAUUGGUAGACACGCCAUCUUGAGGGGGUGGUGAGCAUAGCUCGUGCGAGUUCAAGUCUCGCCAUCCGCA
rnacentral:tRNA from 1 species